rnacentral:rRNA from 1 species
UUCUAAGGGCGGUGAAGUCAGACCGGAAGGACUGGUGGAGCGCUUAGAAGUGAGAAUGCCGGUAUGAGUAGCGAAAGAAGGGUGAGAAUCCCUUCCACCGAAUAUCUAAGGUUUCCUGAGGAAGGCUCGUCCGCUCAGGGUUAGUCGGGACCUAAGCCGAGGCCGAUAGGCGUAGGCGAUGGACAACAGGUAGAGAUUCCUGUACCAGUGCUAAUUGUUUAACCGAUGGGGUGACACAGAAGGAUAGGGAAUCGCACGAAUGGAAAUGUGCGUCCAAGCAGUGAGUGUGAGAAGUAGGCAAAUCCGCUUCUCGCGAAGCAUGAGCUGUGAUGGGGAAGGAAAUUAAGUACGGAAGUUCCUGAUUUCACGCUGUCAAGAAAAGCCUCUAGGAAGAGUAGUACUGCCCGUACCGCAAACCGACACAGGUAGAUGAGGAGAGAAUCCUAAGGUGAGCGAGAGAACUCUCGUUAAGGAACUCGGCAAAAUGACCCCGUAACUUCGGGAGAAGGGGUGCUCUAUUAGGGUGCAAGCCCGAGAGAGCCGCAGUGAAUAGGCCCAGGCGACUGUUUAGCAAAAACACAGGUCUCUGCAAAACCGUAAGGUGACGUAUAGGGGCUGACGCCUGCCCGGUGCUGGAAGGUUAAGAGGAGUGCUUAGCUUCGGCGAAGGUACGAAUUGAAGCCCCAGUAAACGGCGGCCGUAACUAUAACGGUCCUAAGGUAGCGAAAUUCCUUGUCGGGUAAGUUCCGACCCGCACGAAAGGCGCAACGAUCUGGGCACUGUCUCAACGAGAGACUCGGUGAAAUUAUAGUACCUGUGAAGAUGCAGGUUACCCGCGACAGGACGGAAAGACCCCGUGGAGCUUUACUGCAACCUGAUAUGGAAUGUUUGUACCGCUUGUACAGGAUAGGUAGGAGCCGAAGAGACGUGUGCGCUAGCAUACGAGGAGGCAAUGGUGGGAUACUACCCUGGCUGUAUGACCAUUCUAACCCGCCACGCUUAGCGCGUGGGGAGACAGUGUCAGGUGGGCAGUUUGACUGGGGCGGUCGCCUCCUAAAGAGUAACGGAGGCGCCCAAAGGUUCCCUCAGAAUGGAUGGAAAUCAUUCGCAGAGUGUAAAGGCACAAGGGAGCUUGACUGCGAGACUGACAAGUCG